rnacentral:rRNA from 1 species
UGAGGAAUAUUGGUCAAUGGGCGAGAGCCUGAACCAGCCAAGUAGCGUGCAGGAUGACGGCCCUAUGGGUUGUAAACUGCUUUUAUAUGGGAAUAAAGUGAGGGACGUGUCCCUUAUUGCAUGUACCAUACGAAUAAGGACCGGCUAAUUCCGUGCCAGCAGCCGCGGUAAUACGGAAGGUCCAGGCGUUAUCCGGAUUUAUUGGGUUUAAAGGGAGCGUAGGCUGUUUGUUAAGCGUGUUGUGAAAUGUAGGAGCUCAACUUUUAGAUUGCAGCGCGAACUGGCAGACUUGAGUGCGCACAACGUAGGCGGAAUUCAUGGUGUAGCGGUGAAAUGCUUAGGUAUCAUGACGAACUCCGAUUGCGAAGGCAGCUUACGGGAGCGCAACUGACGCUAAAGCUCGAAGGUGCGGGUAUCGAACAGG